AUCACAUCUUAGUCUCGUCUUAGUCUUGGAAAAAAGAUGACACCAAUUAGAGUGACGCAUGGGGCGAAAAGUGGUCGGUGGAAGGACGGACUGACAUGUUCUGGCUGAUUGGUCACUUGUCCUCCAGUGCGUUUGACCCCCAGCAGUCAUUAGUGCCCUACAGCCUGGGCCCCAUCUCUUGCACCCAUCCGAUACAGCACGCCUCCCGUCUGGACAGUCAUCAUUGGUUUUAGAAUGACACAGGAUCAAGGACCUGGACAGAGUCAGUGAAAGUAACAAGCUCAGUUGACAUGAAAACGUGUUUUGAAGGGGGGGUUAUGUUCCUAUGUGAGGGUCCGAGGACAGAUGAUGUUGUGGUCACUGUCUGUUUCUGUUGUGUUUUCUGUCCUUCACCUUGUCUCUUGUUUCAUACACCUCCCUUCCUGUGUGCUGCCCUCCUGUAUGAUGGCAAGCCCCGCCCUCAUUGUUUUCACCUAUGAGUCUGUGUCUACUCCUUACUAGUGACCCCCGUGUGCCUUGCUAUGUUUUGACCCAUUUUUUCCCACCCGUGACUGUUUCGGAUUCCUCUUUCUGCCUUGUCUGAUUACCCGUGUACCAAACCCUGCUUGAAGUAAAGUCAUUGUAUGUAAAUGUGUUUUUGUUCCCGAUCAAUCUAUAAUUCCCACAAAUUGCCCCCCUUUGGAAUAAUGAGAUAAAAGAAUCAAUUUCCAUGGUAGAGUUUGACACAAGCCUGUGAAGAAAGGUACAUACUAUGUCUACCAAUAAAAAGGAUAGCCUAACUGAA